GCGGUCUCCUAGUGACACUGUGGGGAGGAAAAAUGUGCCAUCGGCUAUUUUGAGGAAGCACUUUGGAGGAGGAGGAACGUGAACCCUGCCGAUGUGCGAGCCAGAACACCAGCAAGUUGACCGCAAAAGCUCCGCUAGAGAGCUCGACCGACCGCGACAAAAAACUGUUGCGAAACCAAAAGAACUUUUUGGGGAGAACGGAAUUGGGUCUGCAGUUUCAGAAUCCGUAUGAUUUGUGAUAUACGGCCGUAUACGUAAGAUUCACCACAAAAUCCGUAUGAACUACAACUAUACCGUACGAGUUGACAGUCAACACCUCAGCUGCUUGAUGGAGUUUUGCCUUCUAUGUGGUUAAAUGUCGCACCCACAGGAGACUUUUCAACAGGAACAUGCUAAAGAAGGAAACCGAAGUGCCCGGAGAAAACCCACACAGGCACGGGGAGACUAUGUAAACUCCACAUGAAUGGGUCCGGAAUUGAAACCGGGACCUCGGAACUGUGAGGCCAACAGUUUCCCAGGCGCAGCCGAGGAGUAGAGGGUGUCCAUUUUGGUGGCCUCAGCAUUGCAUCUCUGCUUUUAUGAGAUGAGGUGGUUCUGCCGAUACCUGUCAUUCAGAAGUUAUUUUUACAGAAGAAAAUAAUGCAGCCUUCUGAGCAGUAUCCUAUAUUCUGUCACCAAAAGACAAGCUGUGGUUUAUGGAACGAUUCAUCAAUACUUACAAAGGAAGGGAAGACGAAAGGCAAGAGGUUCAACAAAAAUGCUAAGGGACAUGGGCUCGAAAGGCAAAGGAGACAUCCGACCAUUUUCCAAGCCACUUAAACUCACAAGGUCCCGAGAGUGCUGGCGCCUAUCCUAAACAACUUGGGGCAAAAGGCGGACUACACUCUGAAUUUGCUGCCAGUCCUUUGCAGGGCAUUACAAAGGAGACAGAUACAAGGCAACAAUAUGAAAGCUUAUUUCAUCAAAAUAUAGAGAAUUGAUGCUUUUGGUCUUUGGCGAGGUUUUGUAUUAAAUUUACUGAAUAACUAAUCAUUAUUGCAUCGUUACAGCUGAGUUGCAGUCAGAGGGAGCCUCCAAUCAGUAAACUGUAAUUGGAUUGAAUGAGUAGUAAUGGGGCAGUGAAAGAUUUGACCAAUGAGUGAAUGACUGUUGGGGGAUGGGCCACUCAGACAGUAUGACUGCAUGACAUUUCAAAGCCAUGAGAAGUCCUGUUCUGUGCUUUAUUAUACCGGGCUGUGAAAAUGUGUUUGUCAUCUUUUCAAAUUCUUGUUUCAUUUGCAUUGUUCCGCCACUUUUUUAGAUAUUAUCAUACAAUUUUAAAUAUCAAAGAUAAUCGAAGUAAGCAAAAGAUAUAGUUUUUUAAAUUAUGUUUUUAUUUUUUAAGGCAAAAAUAACUUUUCAAAGCUACCUGGCCAUUUGUGAAUGUGAUGUCUCAUUCAGGAGGUCACAAAGGAACCCUCAAAAACUAAACCAUCUUUCUCAUUUAAUAAUGCAUAUUUUAGGUGGAGAGAUGUCAGGGGGAUGUUAUAGUCAUAUAGGUGAUACUUCAAACCUCCUCUGAUGAGAGACAGCUUUUCUAGUUUGAUAUCAAUGGCAUCUUUUACACCUCUUUCAAACCAGUUGUCCUCCCUAUCCAGAAUUUGGAGGAAUGGAGCACUCCUUCUGGGAGACCUGUGGGGACUUCUCCAGAAAAAUGAGCACCGGACCUGAGAUAAGGAAGAAUUUGGUCCACAUUGCCGGCAGUAGCUCAGAUUCAUUUGCAUGUAGGGUGGACUCUGCAAAGUCUUCCCUCUCUCACAUAUUCCCAACGUCAUAACCUUUAAUGACGCAUCUUCCAGGUGUAACCAAAGUGUUGAGGGAUUAGAGUUGGUGGUAUUGUGUCUUGAUGUGAUUUUGUUGGCUUAAUAAAAUCAUGAACUGGAACUCUUGCUGUAGUUGUUCACAUACAACUAUGAAGUGGGUGGAAUGAGAUUCAAAAUCUGAGCCCAUGGUUCUCAGUUAGAAAAGGGUGGUGUGCCCUCCCCCAAGUGGAGGAGUUCCAGUAUCUUGAGGUCGUGUUCAGGAGUAAGGGAAGAAUGGAACCUGAGAUCCACAGACUGAUGGGUGUAGCAUUUGCAAUGAUGCGGACCCUGCAUUAGUCUGUUGUUGUGAAUAAAGAGCUGAGCCGAAAGGUAAAUCUCUCGAUUGGUGGGAGUAAGGAUUCUUCUUGAGAAAGAGUUAAAAUUCUAAAUUCACCUGCAUUGUUUUUUUAAGUGUACGGGGAGGUUUCCUCCUACAUACCCAAAAACAUGUUAUGUUAGCUCAGUGCUUCUCAUAUAAUUUCUGUUAACCCCCCUCACCCAAGCAAGAAGACAAUUUGCGCCCCCCCGCCCUGACUAUAAAUAUUAUCAUUUGUCUAUAAAAUUCUAUAGCUCUGCAUAACAUUGUAUUCUCAAUAACAUUAAAGAAAACAAAAUAAAUUAAAAAGAAAUAUAGUUCAACUUAUAAAGAAUAACUAUUAAAUGUUUUUGUUUCUAACAAUAAUAUUCAUUUUGCAGUGCAUCAAUUUGCCUGAAAUAAAAAAAACCCUUGUUGAAACUGUAAACAUAUUUCACCAAUUUAUU